rnacentral:misc_RNA from 1 species
UCCGGUUUGUCACCGGCAGUCUCCCUAGAGUGCCCUUGCGUAGCAACUAGGGACAAGGGUUGCGCUCGUUGCGGGACUUAACCCAACAUCUCACGACACGAGCUGACGACAGCCAUGCAGCACCUGUGUUCCGGUUCCCUUUCAGGCACACCCAGCUCUCACCGGGCUUCCAGACAUGUCAAGGGUAGGUAAGGUUGUUCGCGUUGCAUCGAAUUAAUCCACAUCAUCCACCGCUUGUGCGGGUCCCCGUCAAUUCCUUUGAGUUUUAACCUUGCGGCCGUACUCCCCAGGCGGAUCACUUCACGCGUUAGCUACGGUACCAGGAGAUCGCUCCCCCAACACCUAGUGAUCAUCGUUUAGGGCGUGGACUAC